rnacentral:rRNA from 1 species
UACGUAGGGUGCAAGCGUUGUCCGGAAUUACUGGGCGUAAAGAGUUCGUAGGCGGUUUGUCGCGUCGUUUGUGAAAACCAGCAGCUCAACUGCUGGCUUGCAGGCGAUACGGGCAGACUUGAGUACUGCAGGGGAGACUGGAAUUCCUGGUGUAGCGGUGAAAUGCGUAGAUAUCAGGAGGAACACCGGUGGCGAAGGCGGGUCUCUGGGCCGAUACUGACGCUGAGGAGCGAAAGCGUGGGGAGCGAACAGG